GAUGAACGCUGGCGGCGUGCCUAAUACAUGCGAGUCGAGCGAACAGAUGAGGAGCUUGCUCCUCUGACGUUAGCGGCGGACGGGUGAGUAACACGUGGAUAACCUACCUAUAAGACUGGGAUAACUUCGGGAAACCGGAGCUAAUACCGGAUAAUAUAUUGAACCGCAUGGUUCAAUAGUGAAAGACGGUUUUGCUGUCACUUAUAGAUGGAUCCGCGCCGCAUUAGCUAGUUGGUAAGGUAACGGCUUACCAAGGCAACGAUGCGUAGCCGACCUGAGAGGGUGAUCGGCCACACUGGAGGUGAGACGCGGACCAGGGGACUACGGGAGGGAGCAGUAGGAAAUGGUCCGCAAUGGGCGAAAGCCUGACAGAGCAACGCGACGUGAGAGAUGAAAAUGUUCGGAUCGUAAAACUCUGUUAUGAGGGAAGAACAAAUGUGUAAGUAACUAUGCACGUCUUGACGGUACCUGAUCAGAAAGCAACGGCUAACUACGUG
rnacentral:rRNA from 1 species